AAGAACAGAAAGGAGAAUGUGUGGAAAUGACAUGUUUCCAGCUGCUAAGCAACCAUGGUGUGGCUCAAAUUUUCCACUUCUAUCUUUCCUGCCUUGAAACAUGUCUUUUAAGAUGCGCUUUUAGAUUGACAGUCUAUGGUUUUCCAGUUAUACCUACAUUGUGAAAGAGCAAGGACUUGUGUUUAAAUAUUGGGUUAGAAUUGCAAUGUUAAAUUAAUAAAGAGGAUCCCCAACACUCCUGAUCAAGCUACCUCUAUAACCAUCCAAUUUGUCUGAAAAUAAGGCUGCCUAUAGCCUGAGGCAAAAGCAAGGUACACAAGGACUUACAAGAGUCACAGUUAUUGUGGAAAAGGCUAAUGGCAGCUGUUCAAGACUGGGCUCACUUGAUAUGCAUGGUACUUCUUGGAGAAAGCCACCAUCAAAGUGAUCUGGUGUGAUCUCAGAAAGCUAAACAAGUUUGGACCUGGUUCCUGUGACAGAUGCUCCAAAACAAACUUCAUUAAACAGCUGUUUGCUUCAUUUCAACUUGUUAUGUGUACAGCAGUGAUUCAUCUUAUGAAUAUUGCAACUUGGAGAAAGCCACGGUCCAUCCUCUAAUUAAUCAGGAUGAUUAUCUCAUAGCCAGGAUGGGAUUGAUCAAAACCCUGACAGUAAUGAGAAGCGUAAAGCCAGGGAAAGUGACCCCUAUUUUGAAGUCUGCAGAAGGAAGAUAUGCAUGACUGAAGCUGUGUAAAGCUCCCAGUAAUCUCUGAUAGGAUGAAGGAUAGCAACAUCAAUAAACCAAGAUAAAUGUUCAGAAACCUCUCAUCCUAAUGCAUAAAUGAAACAGAAGAAUGAAAAAUAGUUAUAACUAGCCUGCAACGAAAACAACGAUGGAAACAAUGAUGGAAAAUUGUGGAGAGGUUUGGAUCAUGAGACAUGUUCUGCCACAGCAUAUGACAAACAAGAGAGUAAAUAUUAAGAACCCUGGCUAAGAAACCA